rnacentral:rRNA from 1 species
UACGUAGGGUGCAAGCGUUAAUCGGAAUUACUGGGCGUAAAGCGUGCGCAGGCGGUUUUGUAAGUCUGUCGUGAAAUCCCCGGGCUUAACCUGGGAAUUGCGAUGGAGACUGCAAGGCUGGAGUCUGGCAGAGGGGGGUAGAAUUCCACGUGUAGCAGUGAAAUGCGUAGAGAUGUGGAGGAACACCGAUGGCGAAGGCAGCCCCCUGGGCCAACACUGACGCUCAUGCACGAAAGCGUGGGGAGCAAACAGG